GAAAAGAUAUGCUAAAUUAAAGCAUUCAGACUCAUACUCUGAACAUGAGUUAAAUUCUCUCUUUUCA
rnacentral:tRNA from 1 species